AUUACUUUUAAUCUGGGUAAUUAUUACCGCAGAAACAAUCAGGUGUUAAUCCCUGGUGAGCAAUCGUGAGAUGCUCUUAUGUUCAACCAGUCGCUACAUCUUCUGCAUUCAACACGAGCCACUUCGAGCAACAACACAUGUUGCGUGACUGCAAGUCCGGGUCCUGGCGAUCCCAGUCUGGUGGAAUGUGCUGUCCAGUUUGGAGGAGAGGUUCUUCCUCCGAGAGUGGAGGUCAAGGUUCACAGUUCAGGGAAACCUGGAGCAUGAGAUUGAUAGAUAGAUUGAUGCGGCAUCUUCCCUCAUACACAGUGUUGGUGAAGAAAGAGCUGAGCCAGUCAUGGAGUUUGGACCUGCCCCGCGACUCAACUUCAGAUAAGCUGUGUAUAUAUUUGGAAGUUACUCACCAAACGAAGAAUAUAUAAAAGAGUAUGAGGUGAUUCAGGAUAUGAAGCCCAAGACUAUUGCACAGAGAGCGCCAUCUGUCUGGAACACAAGGAGGGCUGAAAAAUCAAGGCCAUUAUCUCCAACAUGUCGAGAGAAAGCAGGAAAUCGGUGCAUUAGAGGACGACGUGGAGCAUCAGCCGCGGCGGGGAUGAUGGGAGCGAGUGUGCGAGAGCGUCUCUGCGCGCGUGUGUCACGCAGAGAGACGCACAGCUGGAUCCGCCAGGACAACGGUGUCAGCCAGCCAACGAGCCGGCGUGCUCGCCGUCCCUCGCUGUUCUCCCUCGCCGACCUCCUGCGGGCCUCAUUAGGAGAGCGUGCAGAUAGCUUCUCCUCCCCCAACUCUCACUGCAUCACGUUGAGAGAGCGAGAGCGAGGUGGAAAAUAACAACGAGUCAGGUGCUAAAUGUGAACAUGGAUUAGUUACUAUGCCAACGGCGCGAGGACGCACUCGCAGAGCCAGCCAGCCAGGGUCCCUGCAAGACACUUGUUUUCUGUCCCUCUUGUUUUCUUUUCUCCCUUCCCCUCCCCUCCUUGCUCUCUAUCGGCCGGGGAGAUAAGACUGAGACUUGUGCCUGGUAUUAAACCUUAUCUCUCCAGAUGGGGCUGAGGCCUGCUGCAUUUGACAACACAGACGCUCCGCUACAUCUAAAACAUGCCUCCGUUUAAUGGCCACCCAUUAGCAUCAUUUGCCGACGACAAUCUGUUGAGUUCUGACUGGCAAUAUUUACUUACGUAGGUGCUGUGAUACCGUUCACGUCAUGCUCACACGACGCACUCAGGAUUGUUUUCAUUUUAAGAAGUUUAUUUGGACGUUAGUAUCCGAACAAAAGCUGUAUUUUGCGAGGAUAUUUAUAUAGUAUUUUGAAGUAAAAUAAACAAGCAUACAACGUAGCAAAAAGCAGCUCAGGUACAUCCACAUUGGAGAUUAAUAUCAGUCCAAUUGCUUUGCCCAAUACUUGUUACUUCAUUUAUAUAAACUUUUUAAGCAUUAAAAUAGGAUUAGUGUGAGCGCCGGUAGUAGAUUAGGUGGAUCCAUUUGUGCCUCCCAAAACCUGCCUGAUUGAUUGACCAAUUCUCCAUUUAAAAUAAACUUAAAUAGCUACACAACGAAAUAAAAUCUGAAAAUGUUGAUGUUUACUAUGUUGUGUUUACCUACAAUUUACUCAAAGGAAUAGCAACAGGGACUACAAAAAUGGCCGCCAUGCAGUGCCUGUGAUUCUGUUGCGGUUUCAACUGAUUAAAAACCUCAGUCCCUCAAGCAUUUUGAGCAACCUAAAAAAUGUCCACCUUACACGGUCACACGGUUCGAGGAACAGUGUGUUCUCUGGGAAUAUAGUGGUUCAUUUGUGUGAAACUGUCCAUUGUGGAUUGUUUGCUGCAUAGGCAGAGUUGAGUAGAACUUGGCUGCAUCUUGAAAAACAAACUUGAUCCACUGAGCCUUCGAGUCUUUACGAUAGACAAAUACACAGUCCUCCUCCUCAUUGCUGAAAACACACUUCCUCUCCUCUCAGGAGAAGAUGUAACUGUGGUAAAGAGGCAGCCAUUAGCGCAACAGUGGAGGUAUUUGGAGGUAUUAAUAUGGUGUGGCGCAUCAUUGAUCCCAUCAUUAUUGAGUUGCACUUGACCUCCUGACGUCAUGACAAUCUGUAGUCAAAUGAAUUGGGUAAAAUGUAGCGUAUCCGAGGCUUCAAAAUCCAUGUUUGACCCAUGUGUGAGCUAGAUUUCUUAUUUCAGUGAGAAGUGACCAACAUGCAGCAAGUAGCAAUAACAUUUUUCAAAAGUUCUGGUCCAUUACUAAAGACCUGAAGACUCUCUGCAGGUGGUCACGGCAGGUGUACACCCUGUCUUUCAGGUGUUGCCUCCUCAAGUGGUCGCC